rnacentral:rRNA from 1 species
AUGGGCUCAGGAUGAACGCUAGCGGGAGGCUUAACACAUGCAAGUCGAGGGGUAUAGUAGCAAUACUAGAGACCGGCGCACGGGUGAGUAACGCGUAUGCAACCUGCCCUUUACAGGAGGAUAGCCCGCUGAAAGGCGGAUUAAUACUCCAUAAGAUAGUACUGCUGCAUGGCAGAGCUAUAAAAGCUUCGGCGGUAAAGGAUGGGCAUGCGUGACAUUAGCUAGUUGGUAGGGUAACGGCCUACCAAGGCUACGAUGUCUAGGGGUUCUGAGAGGAAGGUCCCCCACACUGGUACUGAGACACGGACCAGACUCCUACGGGAGGCAGCAGUGAGGAAUAUUGGUCAAUGGGCGCGAGCCUGAACCAGCCAUCCCGCGUGCAGGAAGACGGCCCUAUGGGUUGUAAACUGCUUUUGUGCAGGAAGAACGACCGGAUCGUGAUCCGGGGUGACGGUACUGCAUGAAUAAGCACCGGCUAACUCCGUGCCAGCAGCCGCGGUAAUACGGAGGGUGCAAGCGUUAUCCGGAUUUAUUGGGUUUAAAGGGUGCGUAGGCGGUAAAAUAAGUCAGUGGUGAAAAGCUGCAGCUCAACUGUAGUCCUGCCAUUGAAACUGUUUUACUUGAGUAACCAUGAGGUAGGCGGAAUGUGUAGUGUAGCGGUGAAAUGCUUAGAUAUUACACAGAACACCGAUUGCGUAGGCAGCUUACUAGAGGUUCACUGACGCUGAUGCACGAAAGCGUGGGGAUCAAACAGGAUUAGAUACCCUGGUAGUCCACGCCGUAAACGAUGAUAACUCGCUGUUGGCGAUACACAGUCAGCGGCUUAGCGAAAGCGUUAAGUUAUCCACCUGGGGAGUACGCUCGCAAGAGUGAAACUCAAAG